rnacentral:rRNA from 1 species
UACAGAGGUCCCAAGCGUUGUUCGGAUUCACUGGGCGUAAAGGGUGCGUAGGUGGCGGGGUAAGUCGGAUGUGAAAUCUCGGAGCUCAACUCCGAAAUGGCAUUGGAAACUACCCUGCUAGAGGGUCGGAGGGGGGACUGGAAUACUUGGUGUAGCAGUGAAGUGCGUAGAUAUCAAGUGGAACACCAGUGGCGAAGGCGAGUCCCUGGACGACUCCUGACACUGAGGCACGAAAGCUAGGGGAGCAAACAGG